UGCGCAAAGUUUUGAUUACCGAUGACCAGGAUCGCUGGUUCAGAAAAUGGUGGGCGAAUGUAAAAACGUUAAAAACAUUGUAUGAAGAAUGUCCAGUCAAGUGAGAUCUGGUAUUGUUAUCGGGGGUUUUGUGGCGCUAACGGUGGCUAUGAUGUUUCCAAUCGCCAUCUACCCAAAGCUGUUUCCCGAAGUCUACCAGGAUAUACAAAGAGAUAGGAGAAAGGGAAUAAAACAAGAGGAAAUUCAGCCUGGAAACAUGAAAGUAUGGUCAGAUCCAUUUAAGAGGGACUAGCAAGUAAUAUUCUCCAAGCAAGACAGAACAUGUAUUUUCAACCCAGGAUUUAUUGAACAAUAAAUAAUAAGACAAUACAUUAUAACAUAAAGUGCCUUAACAGCAGAUAAGCAAAAGGUUUUUUAGCUAUGUAUUAGUGUAGAUAAUAUCAUUGUGUCAAUGAGAGAAUCUUGCUAUUAUUUUAUAUGUAUUAAAUGUCAUGAUCAACAUGGCAAUGGUUUGCUAA